AAAUGGAGUGGUGUUGUGUGAGUAAACAGAAGUCAUGGUUGUUGAUGAUAUUGAUGAUGAUGAUACAUACUUUCAUGGUUUGGCAAACACACAGUGUUUGUAUACAAGAUAAGAGAAAGUCACUACUCAAACUCAAAGCUUACCUUAUUGAUUCAUAUGGUGUAGACCCUCUCCCCACUUGGGUUGAUGACGGUGGCACCCGCGAGUGUUGUGAUUGGGAGAGGCUCAUGUGCAACACAACCACCGGGCAUGUAACGAACUUGUCUUUAAUUAAGCAACAUGAUGGGGAUGGCAGAUAACACGGGGAGGGUCGUUAAACCUUGCGAGAGGAUGUGGUCGUUCAAUGUCUCUCUCUUUCUUCAUUUUAAAGAGUUAACGAGUCUCAAUAUGUCAUACAAUUGUCUUGAUAACAUUGUUGUGAACACAGGUAUUAUAACUUACUAUAUUAGCUUCAUAUGGAUUGUUGAAAUUGAAUUGUUCAAGAAGUUGAAGUUUUUGAAACUUAGGGGUAACGAAAUCAACGAAAGCUUUAACAUCUUUAAGUGCUCUUCCACUGCUUAAAAACCCUUGAUCUUAGUUACAAUUUCUUAAGUGGAUCGUUUCCGGCUCAAGAAGCGGAUGAUGGUGGAUUUUCUAUGUGGCUCCCUGGCUUGAUUUGAGGUCAUGGUGUUGAAGAUUCAACGUUUUUUGUAUAUAACCGACGACGUAAGAAAUGAAAACCCUCUGAAAAUCAACCAAACUCUCAUCUCAAUUGGUGUCAAAUCGGAGGAGACAGUCGGCGAGUUCGCUUCGAGUUUUCAGCAACCAUUGAUUGUAAGAACAAUGCUAUCCUUUAAAUUAAUCAUAUGGUUUCUAUCGUUGUUGGAUUUUACAUCGAUUGGUCC